rnacentral:misc_RNA from 1 species
GACCUCACUGGUGGCUCUAUCAUUUUACGGUGCAAGUCAACUCAAGUUCCACUGGGUGGAACGUUAUGACAAGCUCCUCGUCGGUUCAGUGCUAAGCUUGGUUGGUAUUUUGACCCUUAUCUUUCACGAUCACGACCACGAAGGAGGUUCUGCAGGAGGUCAUGUGCACAGAAAACUCAUUGUGCUAUAAAAAGAUCAUUCUUCAGCCAACAAAUCUGUUUCCUGAAGCCUAGUAUUCAAAUGCAUAUUUACCUUUAAAGGAUAGAAAGGGGAGCCUUAGAGCAACGGUAAAUUUGUUAUAGGUCAUGGGUACGAGCUGUGGAAUCAGCCACUAAUGCUUGCGUUAGGGUAGACUGCCUACAUUACACCCCUUGGUGUACUGGUGUACGGCCACCCCCCGGGCUCCUUUUUUUUUUUAGUUACCUCAAGAAAAGCAAUGUACAAAUACACUUUUUUUUCAAGUUGUGCAAUUAAUGUGUGCUCAAG